UACUCUUUAUUGGUUGCUUUUGGGGUGGG
rnacentral:piRNA from 1 species